rnacentral:tRNA from 1 species
GGCGGAGUGAUGAAAUUGGUAGACAUGACGGAUUCAAAAUCCGUUGGGGUAAAACCCGUGCCGGUUCGAGUCCGGCCUCCGCUACCA